UACGUAGGUGGCAAGCGUUAUCCGGAAUUAUUGGGCGUAAAGAGCGCGCAGGUGGUUGAUUAAGUCUGAUGUGAAAGCCCACGGCUUAACCCUGGAAUUGCAUUUGAAACUGAUUUACUUGAGUGCAGGAGAGGAGAGCGGAAUUCCUAGUGUAGCGGUGAAAUGCGUAGAGAUAUGGAGGAACACCAGUGGCGAAGGCGGCCUCCUGGACCAUUCCUGACACUCAGACGCGAAAGCUAGGGUAGCAAACGGGAUUAGAUA
rnacentral:rRNA from 1 species